rnacentral:rRNA from 1 species
UUAAACGGAAGAGUUUGAUCCUGGCUCAGGACGAACGCUGGCGGCGUGCCUAACACAUGCAAGUCGAGCGGGGACAUUGCGACAGAUUUGAAAUUUUCGGAUGGAUAUGAAGAUGUAAUGUUCUAGCGGCGGACGGGUGAGUAACGCGUGAGCAACCUGUCCCUUACAGGGGGAUAACACAGCGAAAGUUGUACUAAUACCGCAUAAGACCACAGAG